AAUGUCAACAUGGAUUCUGUGCAACUAUGUAAAGAAUGUAGAAAUUGUAGAAAUUACUAAUGUCAAUGUCUAAUAGAUUCACUCCUAUACUUAUGAAGGUAUUGAAGUUGAGGUUUCACUGUCCCUCAGGCCUUCCUUUUCCUGCCCAUACCCCUGUUUCUUUUAUUUGGCCUUUAAAAGAAUCAUGGUAACACAUCUAAAACUUUCAAGGCUGGCCAUGGGACCACAGGAAGGUACAUAAUGUAGUACAGUUAUCAAAUUUGAUUAGAGAACCGAAAUGUAUAGUCCAUGUGGUCCUUUGCUUUAUUGAUGUAUGGAUAUCUUUGGAUAAAAUAAGGAUUUGGGAGUUUAUCAUUUGAAGUAAGUACACAGUAUUCACACUAUUAUACUCACUCUAUAGCCGGGCCACAUUUGUUUCCAAUAUCAUAGCAGAAAAUGGAAUUGGAAAACAGUAAUUUAGAGUACACAUUCAGAAAUAUUUAUAAAGUCCCCUAUCAAGGAAUGUACAAUAAGAAAGUGAAAUACAAUAUUCAUUCACCUAAAGGUCUAUAGCGAAAAUACUGGCCAUUAUAAAUAGAGAAAACCUAGAAAAUGGAACUGUAUGUCACAGGAAUGGACAUGGGAAUAAAAAUAUUAUCCAGAAGAAUCUCCUACACUCCCAAGUUCCUACAUCAUUACUACCCAUGUCAGGACCCUGACUAACUUUCUCCAUUCAGAGCAUGUAACCACUGUCGAAGCAAAGAGAAGACCCUAGCUUUAGAGAAUUGGAGUACAUAAAGGUUUCCCCUAUGUCACGGGAGACAUACCUGGAAAGGCACUCUUGAAACUGGUCAAUGUAAAGAAAGCUGUUUACAGGUAGGCCAGGGCAGUUCUCAGAGACAUUCAUCAUUAGGCCCUCCAUGAAAAAUCUCUUGUAUCCUGGAGAGCCCUAGCUUCUCCUGUGAUGUCACAAGUGUCUGCAAAUGCCUCUUGGAUAUUCCUUCAGUGACUAUAAGGUUUACUAAUUCUCCUGUAGUUCAGAGGAAAUAUCAAUUUGGGAGUGAGAACAAAGAAUAUGAAAAGCUCAGAGAUGGGGAGAACAAAGAUGGUCUUCUUUCUUGGUAUAAAACAAAGGAAGAAAUAUGUUGACCCCGGGAAAUCUCACUGACUCUUUGCUAGGAGUUGAGUAGAACUUUUAAUUUGAUCUUGAAGAGAUUCAUGAAAACUGAAGUAUCGAAAAUGUAUACCUUCCCAUUCAAAACUUGUAACAUCCAUCAUGUGAAACUCCCACUGAACCUCUGUGGAUUGAUGUAUCUGAAAGCAUUUAAAGACUCUCCUACUGCAUUACUGCAACUCUACAGAAGCUUCACUCCCAUAUUGGCCGUUCCAGAUUGGCUGUAAAUAAAUCAUUUGCUGUGUCUUCGAAA